rnacentral:rRNA from 1 species
GUACUCAGUUGUAGGUACCCUAAGAAUAAGGAUCGGCUAACUCCGUGCCAGCAGCCGCGGUAAUACGGAGGAUCCGAGCGUUAUCCGGAUUUAUUGGGUUUAAAGGGUGCGUAGGCGGGUUGAUAAGUCAGUGGUGAAAGGUUUGCGCUCAACGUAGACAUUGCCAUUGAAACUGUCAGUCUUGAGUACAAAUGAGGUAGGCGGAAUGUGUUGUGUAGCGGUGAAAUGCAUAGAUAUGACACAGAACACCAAUUGCGAAGGCAGCUUACUGGGAUGUAACUGACGCUGAGGCACGAAAGCGUGGGGAUCAAACAGGAUUAGAUACCCUGGUAGUCCACGCAGUAAACGAUGAUUACUAGCUGUUAGCGAUAGAAUGUUAGUGGCUAAGCGAAAGCGAUAAGUAAUCCACCUGGGGAGUACGACCGCAAGGUUGAAA